rnacentral:rRNA from 1 species
AGUGGCGGACGGGUGAGUAACGCGUGAGAAUCUGCCUUCAGGUCGGGGACAACAGAGGGAAACUUCUGCUAAUCCCGGAUGAGCCUUAGGGUAAAAAAUUUAUUGCCUGGAGAUGAGCUCGCGUCUGAUUAGCUAGUUGGUAAGGUAAAAGCCUACCAAGGCAACGAUCAGUAGCUGGUCUGAGAGGAUGAGCAGCCACACUGGGACUGAGACACGGCCCAGACUCCUACGGGAGGCAGCAGUGGGGAAUUUUCCGCAAUGGGCGAAAGCCUGACGGAGCAAGACCGCGUGGGGGAGGAAGGCUCUAGGGUUGUAAACCCCUUUUCUUUGGGAAGAACAAAAUGACGGUACCAAAGGAAUCAGCCUCGGCUAACUCCGUGCCAGCAGCCGCGGUAAUACGGAGGAGGCAAGCGUUAUCCGGAAUGAUUGGGCGUAAAGCGUCCGCAGGUGGCAAUGUAAGUCUGCUGUCAAAACCCAGGGCUCAACUCUGGUCAGGCAGUGGAAACUACAUAGCUAGAGUUCGGUAGGGGCAAAGGGAAUUCCCGGUGUAGCGGUGAAAUGCGUAGAGAUCGGGAAGAACAUCGGUGGCGAAAGCGCUUUGCUAGACCGAAACUGACACUCAGGGACGAAAGCUAGGGGAGCGAAUGGGAUUAGAUACCCC